UUUUUGGACUUUAAAAAUUGUUUUAUUUUUGCUAAGCAACUUCUAGGAAAAGCUAUUUAGUUCAUAGCUCACACAGCAUUGACUCUAUAAUAUUAAACCUUGGAUCAUCUCCAGUACUUCUGUUUUCAAGGUGAUACUUUUAAAAUAACGAUUUAAAAACUAGAUCUAACUAAUUGCUUGUUUUGCCUUUAACAUCUCACUUGUUGAAGGAAGGUAACUAUCAAAUAAUCUUGACUUUUCAGAGGUGGCAACACACACAAAUACCUAACAAGUGAUGUCUGAAUGCUAGAUCAUAAUGAUAGGAACAAUACAGAUGCAUUCUGAAUAAAUGGCAUCUAGGCGAGCAUCUCUUGCUUCGCUGAAAAGAAAAUUUAUAUUGUGUUCCAUCCGCAGCUCUUUCUGCUAAGGCUCUUUUUGGUCACGAUACAACCAUCACACCACCUUCAGCUCAUUGGACGAAAGGUAGGAUAUAAAUGUAGUAACACAUAAAAUACAAACGAAGGUUCCCACGGGGCCUGUAUUGAGCAAUCUUGUUCAUUUAUUCAUUUCUUUUCAGAAGAGAAGAGAACUUGAAAAACCAAUGUGGUCAUCUUCUGUGCUUCCAAUCGAAGGAACUUCUGCCAUCAGGGUGCCACUACAGAGUAGGUCCUAUUCUGUGUUACCACAAUGAGGUUCACCUGCUGGUAGGACAAACUAGGGUUUCUGGAUCUCGGGCUAGAGAGGAAAUCUCUAUUGUGUUCCAUCUGCGACUCUUUGUGCUAAGACUCUUUCAGGUUGCGGGGACUGAAUCGCCAGAAGAAGCCCUAUUCUGUGUCACCACGAGGCUCAUCUGCAGGUAGAACACUCCUUUUGCUCCAGCUCCUCUUUCCUUCACACUUCCCAGAGUUCACUGUACCUGAAGUGAGAGUCACCUGCAUUUGGGCUGCGCUGCUUUAGGUAAGUUCACAUUCUACCACUCAGUGGCCUUUUCUCAAGACAAUUUUUUUUGUAUCGGUCUCUCCUUUUUCCCAUUUUUGUUUGUGGUGGUGUCUUCGAAGGUCUCUCCAAAUAGCUCGCAACCCUCAAAUGAAGCCAGCUCCUCCAGCAGAGUCCCAGAAAUCAUGGUGGUAAGAAAAGCUGUUUGUUUUUUUGAAAUUCAUUUUCUGUAGGAUUGGUGAAAGGUGGCUGGGGAGAAACUAGCGACUCUAGAUCGCAGACCAAGAAUAGGAUCUGCAGGACACAAUGUCACCCUCAGAUGGACAAACAAAAGGGUGAACAGUCUUCCUUCUUUCAUACCAAGCUUAACGGCAGAGAUUUAAGUCUGAAUCUCAUCUCUCUGUUGUGCCCCUCUAGAUCAAAGGCUCAUCCAGCUUCAAAUAAAAAUGGCAGUCAAAAUGGCAUUCCAUGACUGAAGGACAUUUAGGUGAGUAUGCCUUCCUAGGCUAGGGAGAAAGUCUCUUAUAGUGUUCGGUCUGCAACUCAUUGUGCAAAGACUCUUUCAGGUUGCGGUGACUGAGUUUUCAGAAGAAGCCCUAUUCUGUGUCACCAAAAUGAGGUUCACCUGCAGGUAGGAGACGACUUCUUUUGUUCCAUCUCUUCUUUCCUUCAGGCUUCCCAGAGUUCACUGUACCUGAAGUGAGAGUCACCUGCAUUUGGACUGUGCUGCUUUAGGUAAGUUCACAUUCCACCACUCAGUGGUCUUUUUUCCCCAAGAACAUGUUUUUUGUAUUGGUCUCUCCUUUUACCCGUUUUCUUUUCUGGUGGUCUCUUCACAGGUAUCUCCAAACAACUCCCAACCUUCAAAUGAAGCCAGCCCUUCCAGCUGAGUCCCAGAAGUCAUGGUGGUAAGAAAAGGGUCACCUGCAGGUAGAACCCUUCUUUUGUUCCAUCUCUUCUUUCCUUCAGGCUUCCCAGAGUAUGCCUUGCUUGGCUAGGGAGAAAAUCUCUAUUGUGUUCCGUCUGCAACUCAUUGUGCUAAGACUCUUUCAGGUUGAGGUGACUGAGUUGUCAGAAAAUGCCCUAUUCCAUGUCACCACAAUGAGGCUCACCUGCAGGUAGGAGAACACUUCUUUUGUUGCAGCUCUUCAAGUUUCCAAGAGUUCACAAUUUGGACUGUGCUGCUUUAGGUAAGUUCACAUUCCACCACUCAGUGGUCUUUCUUCAAGACAAUGUUUUUUGUAUUGGUCUCUCCUUUCCCCCGUUUUCUUUUCUGGUGGUCUCUUCACAGGUAUCUCCAAAGAGCUCCCAACCCUCAAAUGAAGCCAGCUCUUCCAGCUGCAUCCCAGAAGUCAUGGUGGUAAGAAAAGGUUCACCUGCAGGUAGGAGAACACUUCUUCUAUUGUUCCAUCUCUUCUUUCCUUCAGGCUUCCCAGAGUAUGCC